CAUCAGUCUUCAUUGACAUCAGCUGCUGUAGGGUUGUUGUGGUCUUCGUAGUCGCCGUGUUUUCUCAUUAUUCGUAGUCAGAAUUAUUUGCCUCCGCCGCCGUUGUCGUCACCGUCAACACCAGCACCACCUCCGCCAACACCAUUGUCGCUCCAAACGCUUGCUACACUACCAACGCGGCAAGCAAUCUUCCUCACACACACACACACACACGCACUCAUACGAUUGAAUAAAAGGCCAUAGAACGCUGAAAGCGAGUACUUUGAUUUUUGUAAAAAAAAAAUAAAAAUAAAACAAAAGAAAAAUAAAAAUAAAAAUAAUCGAUUAAUAACCAAAAAUUGCAAACGUGGAGCUAAAAAUAAAAGAGAAAAAGUUAACCAAAGUCAACGACGACAAAGCAAUCAAGUUUCUGUAGAUGUAUUUUAUAAAAAUAAAUGAAGUGAGUGCUUGAAAUUGUGCAAAAUAUUUAUGAGUGUAGCAGAUUAAGGAGAAAAUAAAAUACAUACAUCAUUCUAUAGCUACAACAACAUAACAGCAACAACGAAAAGAGUAGAAAA